rnacentral:tRNA from 1 species
CAGAGAGUAGUUUAUAUAAAAUAUUAAUUUUGGAGAUUAAUGAAAAAAGUUAUUUUUUCUCUGA